rnacentral:lncRNA from 1 species
AGAGAUUAAGAGGAGAGAGAAUCCCCCUCCUUAUAAGUGAGUGCCUAAGCAUUAUCCUAUUUGCAAUGGUGCUCGAGUGAGAGGAGCUGACUUAGACUUGUAGUCCCACUUUUAGUUACCUGAUAGCAAUGGUGCUCGAGUGAGAGGAGCUGACUUAGACUUGUAGUCCCACUUUUAGUUACCUGAUAGUCCCAACGUAGGUUUUGCCUUUUUGUUGUUCUGUAUCCUUAGUAGCUGAUCUCAUUAUCUCAUAUAUAAUAUUCCGACUUGACCUUUUGAUAUGGCUAACCAGACCAAGCAAUAAGGCCUCCAAAAAGCUUUGCCCUAAUGUUUUGGGCCUUUUGGCUGGUUGGAUUGCAACAGGUUAGAACCAAAUAUCUCCAAAGAGAUGGUUGUUGACAUGUUGUGGCUGGUUAAUCUUGAUGAAUUAUCUCCAAAUCGUAUUGAUUUGUCCUAAUUUUGUUUUCUUCUUGGUAAAUUAGACCUCCUGCAUGUCAUGUGCAUGUUUUUGGGGUAUUUUAUUCUAGCAGUUUUUUUGUUUGCAUGCAUGUUCAAAGUUGGUUGAUUUCAGUCUCGGUUUUUAAAUUAUUUUUGUAAAAAAAAAUUAAACCAGAAAAGAGCACAAAGCCGCAUACAACAUGCAAGUACUAAUUUAUUGGGAUUAUUGCAAAAGUGUUUGCAAGUGCAACAUGCAAGCUGGUUUUAUGUUGGAUAUAAUUUUAUUUUUAUGUGAAUAAUUUAUAAGUAAUAAUGAAACAUACUAAUUAUAGUUUAUCCCUUUAUGAUGUCAAGUACCAAGGAUGUGAUUGCAAGGUACAAAUCACAUACUGGUGGGGAAAAAUCGGAUCAAAUCACGCUUCACCAACUGCAGGUUAUUCAGUUCAAUAUUAGUUUUUUUUUUUCAUCUUUGCUCUAGAAUUUACAUUUUUAAUGGUACAACAAUUAAUUGUGCCAAGUGAGUGUAAUAUUUUCUUUGAUCUGCACUUGGAGCAUCGGAAUAUAUUUUUACAGCAUUACAAGUUAGACUUCUAUAUAUGCAUGCAGCAGGGUUGGCCUGUUAGACUAAAUAUGUGCAAGUACUUGGGGUUGAGUAAUGCCUC